GGUCAGGCCUGGCCACACACAGGUGACCAAUGAGAUUGUAACACACACAGGAAACUCCACAGUGAUGCUAGGUGACCAACUGAGUUACAAUUUACCCUAGUAGACAUUUGACCCAGCCUAUUACACCUUGAUUAGGAUUGGCGCCAAAAAGUGUUCCCAAAGGUGGGGUCCAUACUCCUUGGUAACCAGGGAGACAGUAUGCAUCCCCCCGCACUGAUCUGAUGUCUCCCCCUGGCCUAACCCACCCUUGUAUCUGGGCUUUUGUUACCUGGAGCUGGUUUCCGGAACUUGUCUCCAACUAAAUCCCCUGGGGGAAGGGGAGCAGGGACAGUUUCUAAAUAGGUCCUUACAGCUUGCAUAUACCAUUAUAAGGCACCUAUUAGACAUCAAGAGGUGGUGUCAGGUAGGCAGCUGCCUAUGUGACUGUGGUUCAGGCCGAGGCCUGAGCUGGAAAUAGACACCUAAAAAGCACAUAGAUGCUUUUUAAAGCAAUAGACUAAUGAUGGUCAUGAAGGGGUGUGAGGAGACACAAGGACUGUGGGCAGAGAUCUAAGUCUCUUCGAGCAAAGAGGGUGGACAGAAAGGAAAGGUCAAGUGUGAUAGAAACUGGAGGGCAGGUGAGCAAAGAGUAGCAUGGAAGGCAGGGAGGGACCAAGUGCCAGAGUCACAGGGAGCCCGUGGGUCAGUUUGGAGGAAAUGUGAGCCCUGGCUGACAUUACUAGGGACCUCUCUGUGUUGCAGUGUGGCCUGAGGGACCAGAGCCUGACUGCAGAGCAUGUGGGAGAGAAUGGGAGCAGGAGAGUGGAGACUGACUGUGAACAACUCUUGUGAGGAGUUUCUGCUGCAAAGAGGGGAAAGAAAUGGGAGAGAGCACUCAGCAAGAAAAGGAAAAUGAAACAAUCUCUGGGUCACAGGAAAUAACACAAGUUUUAGAAAAUCCCUGCGGUAUGAGAGAAAAAACUUCAAGUAGAUCUUUUCUGAGUCCCAUAGAUGACGCAAAGGACAACAGAUGUUCAAAGACUCAGGGACUUCAACAAGAAGUAAUUGGUUUGUACUGGCAAGAGGGACAACUCCAACUGAGGUGCAGAAAAAUAGGACAGCAGAGUUACACACACAACACUACAAUCAAUACUGUCUGCACACAACUAGCUCUGGGCUUCAUUUUGGAAAAAGAGCAACUGCAAGAAGAGUAAUGAGGGCAAGAAAUGCAGAAAAAAGAAGAGAUGGUGGGAGGAUUGGGGAAAGAAGAGAAGGGAUGGGACUAUUUUAUUUUAGGUUCUUGGCAGAUUUUACUAAAACUGAGUAAAAAUACAGACAUAUCAAUAAUUGAUGGGACAAUUUCAGAAAAAUCAAG
rnacentral:lncRNA from 1 species